rnacentral:rRNA from 1 species
GACGAACGCUGGCGGCGUGCUUAACACAUGCAAGUCGAACGGAAAGGCCCUGCUUUUGUGGGGUGCUCGAGUGGCGAACGGGUGAGUAACACGUGAGUAACCUGCCCUUGACUUUGGGAUAACUUCAGGAAACUGGGGCUAAUACCGGAUAGGAGCUCCUGCUGCAUGGUGGGGGUUGGAAAGUUUCGGCGGUUGGGGAUGGACUCGCGGCUUAUCAGCUUGUUGGUGGGGUAGUGGCUUACCAAGGCUUUGACGGGUAGCCGGCCUGAGAGGGUGACCGGCCACAUUGGGACUGAGAUACGGACCAGACUGCUACGGGAGGCAGCAGUGGGGAAUAUUGCACAAUGGGCGGAAGCCUGAUGCAGCAACGCCGCGUGCGGGAUGACGGCCUUCGGGUUGUAAACCGAUUUCGCAGGUGACGAAGCGUGAGUGACGGUAAUGGGUAAAGAAGCAACGGCUAACUACGUG